UCAGAGUUCUUGGCAGUCAAGCUUCCUCUGAGACCCUGAGAUCCUAGUGUGACCAAGCUCCUGUUAUCCGAGGAUCCUUAAGUCCUAGGAUCUUGGCCAUGUUACAGCACCUGGAAAGUGGUGUCUCCUCUGGGGACCAUGGGGCUCUCUGAUGUGUUUGAAACCAAGGUAUACCAGCACUGAUCAGAAGUAAUCUGAGCAUCUGGUCAGACAGGGCUCCUGUGUCCAUGCUCCUGCUGUCACAGGCCCGUUACAAUUGGUUUGGAACAGAUGUUGUGUUCCACUCACCAGUGAUCCUAAGAUCCUGGGUGUGCUAGGGUGCCUGCGGCAUGGAGAGCCCUCUGGGGACCGUGGGACCAUCUGCCAGGCAUACUUGUUAAUAUCUAUUUAGAGAACUAAUUUUCCAAGUCUAUCAGCUCCCAGUAAAAUUUUAAUGCAAGUGUCAGACAUGUAUUGACUAGUUCAACGUGUCUGCCUUCUGUUCCUGUAUACCUAUACCAUAUUGUGGACUACAGUGGAAGAAGGUUAUCUUUAGGGUCUGUUAGGGGAGAUUACUGGAUGUUAGUGCUUGGCGUGAUGGCUGGAGAUGCCUCCUGUCCACACCUAUAUGCCCAAUCCUGAAUCUGUUCUUUACUUCCUGGUCACUGCUCUAUCUGCCUCACUGGAGGUCUGCUGCCACCCAGGACUACCAGACUUGAACUGAAACGUCAGGCAGACAUGGGCACAACACAGCUAUUGGUGGCAUGUAAGAAGAAAGAAGGAGUCAUUGGAACCAGAUUCACUCAGUUCUAAGAUCUCAAGAAAUAUACUGAACCUACUGGUACUCAGAGAAAUCCUAAUUCAUAGACUGCCUUCUCAGGAGGACCCCCCCCAUACCAAAGGCAUUGUGUAUGGAGCCUUCCCAGAAAGAGCCCUAAGAUAUAAAAUCUCUGAAAAAAAAAUCCCAGAUCAAAUUGUAACAGGUCAUUUCUACCUGGCCAUGCUUUAGUAAGCAAAUGAUUACAUGGCUCUGGAGAAAGGUGCUACAGAAGGUCGACCUUUCUAGAACAGCCUACACUGGUACAGGUAAAAAAAUGAUACUCAGGAAGUGGGAUGGACAUAUCUACUUGGUAUCUUACAGAACAAAAUACAGAAUUCAUCGUAAAGCCUUGAGAUUGAAGAAUAAAAUAUCAAUUUAUGUUAAUUGCAUAAUCAUUGAUGGAUCUGUCAUACAAUGCCAGAUAUCAAGUAGUUACAUAUGACUGGCCUGUGUUAUAGUGCACAUUGAAAUGCUCUUAUUGAGACUCCAAACUCAAAAAAAGACUGAAAGAACAAGAAACAAGUGUCAGAGUAAGAAUGUACUAGUCAUAGUUUUCUAGAAAAAAAUUCCUCAUAUAUACAUAAAUAUAUAUGUGAGAUAUUGAAGUGGCAUACAGGCUGUGAUCUGGCUAGAGCAACAAUGACUAUCUCACCACAAAAAGACCAAAAUGUUGUCCUUAUUCAGUCCAUAAAGCUGGAAGACUCGGCUGGUCUUCAGUCUGUGUUGGAUCCUGAGAAAGUAGGUUCUAAUGCUGGUGAAGAGAUUCCUCAGCAGUGAGAAUAUGGGCAAGUAGACGAAAGUGAUGCUUCCUUCUUCCAUGUUUUCUGUGGAAU
rnacentral:lncRNA from 1 species